UGCUCACAUAAUAAGCACCUCGCCAACCGAGCCAUCUCCCUGGCCACAGAUUGUAAUCUCUAAAUUUUGAUUUAGGUAGUAACGUUUACUGAUAUGUAUUAAAUCACUAUUUUAAAUCAUACUUCUUUUAAAAAUAUGUCUUCUAAUGUCUGGUUUUAUUUUUUAAUUGCAGAGGCAGUUAAAGGCAGAUGCUAAAAAAGCUAUUGGCAGGCUUCAGCUGCGCACCUUGAAACAAGGAGACAAGGAAAUUGGCCCUGAUGGAGAUAGCUGUGCUGUGUGCAUCGAGCUCUAUAAGCCCAAUGAUGUGGUGCGCAUCCUAACCUGCAAUCAUAUUUUCCAUAAGACGUGUGUGGACCCAUGGCUUUUAGAGCACAGGACUUGCCCCAUGUGCAAGUGUGACAUUCUCAAAGCUCUGGGAAUUGAGGUAAAUCUUCCUAUAUUGUUUCUAACUUAUCUUCAAGAUAUAAUAAAUAUCAGUUCAGUAAAAUGUUUUUAACUUAUCAGAAAUAUGCAGAUGAGAGCAAUUCUCAGUUCUGUUUUGUGCCUACUUUAUACCAGUCAUUAUAUUUUGAGGUAAAGGGAUCAGCCAAAUGAAGACAUAUAUAUCCCACUGGUAGAGCCACUUCCUAUACAGGUACUGUGACUGGGGCCACCAAGAGAUUUUGGUGAUCAUGAAAAUGGAUCAGAGGUUUAUGAGACUUAAGAAAUAUUUCCGCAAGUUAUCACCAAUGAAAACAUCCUAAUCAUGUCAAUGUAA
rnacentral:lncRNA from 1 species